UACGAAGGGGGCUAGCGUUGCUCGGAAUCACUGGGCGUAAAGCGCACGUAGGCGGAUUGUUAAGUCAGGGGUGAAAUCCUGGAGCUCAACUCCAGAACUGCCUUUGAUACUGGCGAUCUCGAGUCCGGGAGAGGUGAGUGGAAUUCCCAGUGUAGCGGUGAAAUGCGUAGAUAUUGGGAGGAACACCAGUGGCGAAGGCGGCUCACUGGACCGGUACUGACGCUGAUGCGCGAAAGCGUGGGGAGCAAACGGG
rnacentral:rRNA from 1 species